GGUUCAGUGGUGUAGUUGGUUAUCACGUCUGUCUCACAAGUAUUGUGCACAGGAGGUCCCCAGUUCGAACCUGGGUUGAACCA